rnacentral:rRNA from 1 species
UACGGAGACUGCAAGCGUUACUCGGAUUUAUUGGGCGUAAAGGAUACGUAGGCGGUCUAGUGUGUCCGGUGUUAAAUAGCAGGGCUCAACCCUGUCUAAGCACAGGAUACUGCUAGACUAGAGUUUCGGAGAGGUAAGCGGAAUUUUCGGUGUAGCGGUGAAAUGCAUAGAUAUCGAAAAGAACACCAAAGGCGAAGGCAGCUUACUGGACGAUAAUUGACGCUGAUGUAUGAAAGCGUGGGUAGCGAAAGGG